GACGAACGCUGGCGGCGUGCUUAACACAUGCAAGUCGAACGAUGAAGCUAGAGCUUGCUCUGGUGAAUUAGUGGCGAACGGGUGAGUAACACGUGAGUAACCUGCCCCGAACUCUGGGAUAACUGCUGGAAACGGUAGCUAAUACUGGAUACGACCUACGAAGGCAUCUUCUGUAGGUGGAAAGAAUUUCGGUUCGGGAUGGACUCGCGGCCUAUACGCUUGUUGGUGAGGUAAUGGCUCACCAAGGCGACGACAGGUAGCCGGCUUGAGAGGGUGAACGGCCACAGUGUGGAUGAGACACGGCCCAGACUCCUACGUGAGGCAGCAGUGGGGAAUAUUGCACAAUGGGCGCAAGCCUGAUGCAGCAACGCCGCGUGAGGGAUGCCGGCCUUCGGGUUGUAAACCUCUUUUAGUAGGGAAGAAGCGAAAGUGACGGUACCUGCAGAAAAAGCACCGGCUAACUACGUGCCAGCCGCCGCGGUAA
rnacentral:rRNA from 1 species